UGGGGAAUUUUCCGCAAUGGGCGAAAGCCUGACGGAGCAAUACCGCGUGAGGGAGGAAGGCUUUUGGGUUGUAAACCUCUUUUCUCAAGGAAGAACAAUGACGGUACUUGAGGAAUAAGCAUCGGCUAACUCCGUGCCAGCAGCCGCGGUAAUACGGAGGAUGCAAGCGUUAUCCGGAAUUAUUGGGCGUAAAGCGUCCGUAGGUGGCCCGACAAGUCUGCUGUUAAAGACCAAAGCUUAACUUUGGCAAAGCAGUGGAAACUGUAGAGCUAGAGACCGGUAGGGGUAGAGGGAAUUUCCAGUGUAGCGGUGAAAUGCGUAGAGAUUGGAAAGAACACCAGUGGCGAAAGCGCUCUACUGGACCGGAACUGACACUGAGGGACGAAAGCUAGGGUAGCGAAAGGGAUUAGAUACCCCCGUAGUCC
rnacentral:rRNA from 1 species